rnacentral:lncRNA from 10 species
UUAGAAGUAGGAUUUGAGCCACUGUGUUACUGAGGUGUGGUCUAUGACUUCUGGGUGUAACCUUUCAGAUUUUCCAAUUUCCCAGCUUCUAUAUUCGUAUUUAAUUCUCAUCUAACACAGAAAAUGAAGUUCUGGCACAUGCUGCACCAUGAACAAGCCAUGAAAACAUGAGGCUGAGUGAAAGAAACAGAAACAAAAUGUCACGGAAGGGCAUGAUUCCCACAAAAGCAAGUAAGUG